UAGCAUAUCAAUAAGCGGAGGAAAAGAAACCAACAGGGAUUGCCCUAGUAACGGCGAGUGAAGCGGCAACAGCUCAAAUUUGAAAUCUGGCUUCGGCCCGAGUUGUAAUUUGUAGAGGAAGCUUUUGGUGAGGCACCUUCUGAGUCCCCUGGAACGGGGCGCCAUAGAGGGUGAGAGCCCCGUAUAGUCGGAUGCCGAUCCAAUGUAAAGCUCCUUCGACGAGUCGAGUAGUUUGGGAAUGCUGCUCAAAAUGGGAGGUAAAUUUCUUCUAAAGCUAAAUACCGGCCAGAGACCGAUAGCGCACAAGUAGAGUGAUCGAAAGAUGAAAAGCACUUUGAAAAGAGGGUUAAAUAGCACGUGAAAUUGUUGAAAGGGAAGCGUUUGUGACCAGACUUGCGCCGUUCCGAUCAUCCGGUGUUCUCACCGGUGCACUCGGGACGGCUCAGGCCAGCAUCGGUUUUGGCGGGGGGACAAAGGUCCUGGGAACGUAGCUCCUCCGGGAGUGUUAUAGCCCAGGGCGUAAUGCCCUCGCCGGGACCGAGGUUCGCGCAUCUGCAAGGAUGCUGGCGUAAUGGUCAUCAACGACCCGUCUUGAAACACGGACCAAGGAGUCAAGGUUUUGCGCGAGUGUUUGGGUGUAAAACCCGCACGCGUAAUGAAAGUGAACGUAGGUGAGAGCUUCGGCGCAUCAUCGACCGAUCCUGAUGUAUUCGGAUGGAUUUGAGUAAGAGCGUUAAGCCUUGGACCCGAAAGAUGGUGAACUAUGCUUGGAUAGGGUGAAGCCAGAGGAAACUCUGGUGGAGGCUCGCAGCGGUUCUGACGUGCAAAUCGAUCGUCAAAUCUGAGCAUGGGGCGAAAGACUAAUCGA
rnacentral:rRNA from 1 species